GUUCCAGAAACCCUCCCCCACCAUUUUUCCUCUGCAAUUCUCCCCCGCAGCCCCAACAACAAAACCCACCGCCAUUGUCUCUUCCUUGUCCUCGGGGAAACUCUCUUCCUCACUCACUCACUCAUUUCUUCUCUUCCACUCCUGCAACUCCCAAUUCACUCAUUACCAUUCCCGUCUUCGCCACUCUCUCUUCCCCUUUAGAAAACCCGCCUCUGGCCCAAGAUGGGCCCAACGGUUCUACUCGGAAGCCUAUUAGCCUUUCUUCGGGAAUGUACCAGUCGCCGGUGACAAUUGCGUUGUGGGAAGCGAGGUUGAAGAUCUUCGAGAGGUUCUUUCUGGACCCGCCCAAAGACGCGCCGUCACAUAACAGGACGAAGAUUCUCUACAGUGCAUUUGUUGGUGUUUCAAAAACGUCGUUGAUGGUGAGGAGGGAGCCUCAGCAAACUCCGGUUGGUGUUGCGAGAAAUUCCUCUGAUUCGGGCCGGGUUAGGUCGUUUGUUGUACCUUCUGCAUGCUCAGGUCUGCAAACUCCAGUUGGUGUUGCAGAUUCGGCAGAUCAGACCUGAAAUCGAACCGAAAAAAUGGUUCGCCUCGAGCCAGGUGCACGGGUCAAUGGAGGUGGAGUUCCAGGUGGUGAUCUUGUUGGAUGGUUAGAUGGCUUUGUUUCUCUGCAAGUGAGAAACAAAGCUAGGAGGUGUGCUGAGCAAUGGCGUGGUCAGAAAUUAUUCGACUGAAGCUGCUGCUUUGAGAUUUGGCCUUUUCCAAGCCAAGCGUGCAUGUUACUCAGGGUUGGAGCCGCAGCUAAUCCACAACAAUGUGAAGUCGAGUAAUGUGCUGCUGGACCGCGGAGGCUAACUGAAAUCAAAGAAUCAGGUAGUAGUGAUUGUGAUUGAUGACGUGCCCAAGUAGGAGGAGCCGGAGAGCUACGGAUUUGCCUCUUUUGCUAUCGACCUCGAUGGUCACGACGGCUCCGAUGGCCUCUUCGAUUCGUCCCCAACGUUGGCGUCGUGGUCAACGACUACCUCUCGUUCUUUAAUUUGUUCAAACAUUAGAAACCACAAUUUCAGGGACAUCUGCAACACUAUCUUCAGUUAACAAACCCCUCGGGUGGAGAAGAAAACUUGGGAUGGGGUGGGUUUUUGGAUGGGAGGGGAGAUGAAGAGAGUGGAGGAGAUGGACGUGGGUCAGGGGAAUGGAUUUAUGGGUUCCAUUUUUUUUUUUUUUAAUUUUAAAUAGGAUAAAUUAUUGUAAUUUUUAAAUGCAUAAAAAAAUUCUUUUUUUACCACGUGACACACAUUUAGCAAUCACGUCAGCUCUUAACGGGCCAAUGGAUGGAAAAUGUAACGGUAACGGUUGUAUUAUAUUGAAAUAAAAUAGUAUUUGAGGUACGAAA